CUACGGGGCGCUCCAGUGGGGAAUAUUGCACAAUGGGGGGAACCCUGAUGCAGCAACGCCGCGUGGAGGAUGACACAUUUCGGUGCGUAAACUCCUUUUAUAUAAGAAGAUAAUGACGGUAUUAUAUGAAUAAGCACCAGCUAACUCCGUGCCAGCAGCCGCGGUAAUACGGGGGGUGCAAGCGUUACUCGGAAUCACUGGGCGUAAAGAGCAUGUAGGCUGGUUUGUAAGUUGGAAGUGAAAUCCUAUGGCUUAACCAUAGAACUGCUUCCAAAACUACUUACCUAGAGUAUGGGAGAGGUAGAUGGAAUUUCUGGUGUAGGGGUAAAAUCCGUAGAGAUCAGAAGGAAUACCGAUUGCGAAGGCGAUCUACUGGAACAUUACUGACGCUCAGAUGCGAAAGCGUGGGGAGCAAACAGGAUUAGAUACCCGUGUAGUC
rnacentral:rRNA from 1 species